rnacentral:rRNA from 1 species
UACGAAGGGGGCUAGCGUUGUUCGGAAUCACUGGGCGUAAAGGGCGCGUAGGCGGCCGAUCAAGUCGGGGGUGAAAGCCUGUGGCUCAACCACAGAAUUGCCUUCGAUACUGUUUGGCUUGAGACCGGAAGAGGUAAGUGGAACUGCGAGUGUAGAGGUGAAAUUCGUAGAUAUUCGGAAGAACACCAGUGGCGAAGGCGACUUACUGGACACAUAUUGACGCUGAGGUGCGAAAGCGUGGGGAGCAAACAGG